rnacentral:tRNA from 1 species
UGAAAACAAGCUUUUAGCAUUUCAUUUACACUGAAAAGAUUCUUGGUAAUCCAAGGUUUUCAA